CCGCAGCAGCUUCUUGGAACUCGGCCUCCGCCGACGCGUGAAAGGUCCGAGUUGUGGACCAAGGGAAGAGAAAGGGAGAGAGGUUUUAAUCCGCUUCCCUGCGGUUAUUUACCAAUUGCCAGGAUGCGAUUCUAAUCCCCGUGAAGUAAUCGAUUUAUACGCCGCUUAUCUUCCUGUAUCUUUUUAACACGCAUGAAAUUGGUGAAAUAGGACUUAUUGAAUGGAAUGGACAAAGAAACAGACGACGAAGGAGACCGAGUUACAGGGGUCCAUGAUAGACUUUUAAUCUUUGCCUGUCUGAAGCCCAUUAGCUGCCAUUAAGCAUAGGCAACUCUGAGUCACACUAGUGGUCUGAUUCAUGUAAGAGGAUUUCUAUAUAUUAUGAAGGAAAAGGAAGCAUGACAGAUACCUUUAUGCAUAUAUAAGAAAGAUCGUUUAUGAAGAUGCUGAAGAACAUUGGACUCAAGACAGAAUUUUGAAGUACCCUACUGCAUGCUUCCCUCCAUGUAGAUGUAAUUCCAUUAAGGACCAUACACUGAAUGCGUUUGGUCAGCCAACUGCAAAUCCAUUUGGUAGUGGUACUGUCUAUCCCACAUUGUUCUAUCUUACCAAGACGAAAAUUGUGGUUUAUUUUGCCAAAUGCCUUAUUGAAGUACAAGUAAACUAUAUUCAUAACAUUUCUCUGAUCCACUAAUUUAGUCACUUUAUUAUGUUAUCUAUGUGUCUCUGUUUUUACUUCUAAGGUGUAAUUAAUUGAAAGAGAAUGGCUGUUCUAUAUGUUUUUCUGCAAUUUCACACAUUUGUAAAAUAAUGUUUAUUUUUGAAAUGCUAUAAACAGUAUGGAAAUGUUAGGAACAUGUGUAAGACAGGACUUUGAAUUCAUUAAGCGAUUAUAGAGUCUUUAAAUAAAUAAAAAAAAUUUAA